rnacentral:rRNA from 1 species
UACGAAGGGGGCUAGCGUUGCUCGGAAUCACUGGGCGUAAAGGGUGCGUAGGCGGGUGUUUAAGUCAGGGGUGAAAUCUCCACGCUCAACGUGGAGGGGCCACCUGAUACUGCCAUGACUUGAGUCCGGUAGGGGAGUGUGGAAUUCCCGGUGUAGCGGUGAAAUGCGCAGAUAUCGGGAGGAACACCCGUAGCGAAGGCGGCACUCUGGGCCGUGACUGACGCUGAGGAGCGAAAGCGUGGGGAGCAAACAGG